GCUCAUAUAGCUCAGAGGUAGAGCACUUCCUUGGUAAGGAAGAGGUCGAGGGUUCAAGUCCCUCUAUGAGCUCCA
rnacentral:tRNA from 1 species